AAGCCUUUAAGUUAACUAAACUAUUAGCCUUCAAAGCUAAAAAUAAGUAAAUUCUUAAGUCUUG
rnacentral:tRNA from 1 species